GACGAACGCUGGCGGCGUGCUUAACACAUGCAAGUCGAACGGGGUCCAGUCUGUAGCAAUACAGAGGAAGACCUAGUGGCGAACGGGUGAGGAACACGUGAGGAAUCUGUCCCGAACUCUGGGAUAACAGUUGGAAACGACUGCUAAUACCGGAUGCCGUCAUUGGAUCGCAUGAUUCGAUGACGAAAGAAUUUCGGUUCGGGAGGAUCUCGCGGCCUAUCAGCUUGUUGGUGGGGUAAUGGCCUACCAAGGCAUCGACGGGUAGCUGGUCUGAGAGGAUGAUCAGCCACACUGGGACUGAGACACGGCCCAGACUCCUACGGGAGGCAGCAGUGGGGAAUCUUGCGCAAUGGGCGAAAGCCUGACGCAGCAACGCCGCGUGCGGGAAGAAGGCCUUCGGGUCGUAAACCGCUUUCAGCAGGAACGAAAAUGACGGUACCUGCAGAAGAAGGUGCGGCCAACUACGUGCCAGCCGCCGCAGUAA
rnacentral:rRNA from 1 species